rnacentral:rRNA from 1 species
UACGGGGGGGGCAAGCGUUGUUCGGAAUUACUGGGCGUAAAGGGCUCGUAGGCGGCCAACUAAGUCAGACGUGAAAUCCCUCGGCUUAACCGGGGAACUGCGUCUGAUACUGGAUGGCUUGAGUUUGGGAGAGGGAUGCGGAAUUCCAGGUGUAGCGGUGAAAUGCGUAGAUAUCUGGAGGAACACCGGUGGCGAAGGCGGCAUCCUGGACCAACACUGACGCUGAGGCGCGAAAGCGUGGGUAGCAAACGGG